AGUUGUAGGGAAGAUACUACGUUUUUGAUCGUCUGAAAUGUUUCUUCAUUACCUGUUUCUUUUUUUUUCUUUUUCAUAGAGAUAUGAACUGUGUCCCCAUCAGGAUGGAGCCUAAAAAAGAAUAGAUAAUGGGGUUUGCACACACACCAGUUCAGUCUUUGGAUGUACAGUUCCUCCACGGUUCUAAACCAAUGGGCAGAGUCUCCCGGCCACUGCUCCAGCCCCUCCUGGAGUGACUCCUUCAUCUUCCAAGUCUCCAGGGUGGCCCCUAUGCACCCAGCCUCUCCCCAGUCUGUCAACCCUUGGCCACCCAGACUACUUCUCAGUCCCUAUGAUUUGGUCUUUUCCAGAAUGACCCAGGAAGGGGAAUCCUACGUGGUAGCUUAUUGGGGCUGGCUUCUUUCCCUCAGCAAAAUGCAUCUAGGAUCCACCCACAUUCAUCCGGCCAUCACUGGCUCGAUCCCUUUUCUCACUGGGUCUUCCGUUUGGAGGGAGGACCGGUCUUGCUCUCCCCAUUCCCGUGUUGAAGGCCAUCCCCGACGUCUCCGUGUAUGAGUGACAAUGAAUUAAUCAGUGAACAACUUA